ensembl:lncRNA
UGUAAGUUCAGACAAUCAAGCCUUUGAUAAUUUAUUACCUAUUAUUGAUGAAUAUGGAGCAGAAAACUGUAAAAGAGAAGGUUUAUUUUUCAAACAUUUUGAAGCCUAAAUGUCCUCCAGUUCUGUAUGUAAAGAGCGAUCUAACUUUACAAAUAACUGCAGAGAUUCUUCUCUACCGAACAGAAAACAGUCCAGCUCUACUUAAUGCUCUUUCAGUGUUUUUGCUCCGAUUUCCUCCGUAUUUCUCGCAGCGUUUGUGCACGGAUCCUGCAGGACUCAUGGAUUUUUGGUUUGACUUCGAAGCUCCAUAGUGAGUUAUUGGAGGACAGAUCGACGCUGACGUGAGUCCAGAUGGAGGUGAGAUCUGCUAAAAACAACGUCAGGAGGGCAUCAUUAACCACAUGCACUAAUGCGUUUAUUCAGGACGAAAGAAAACAGACAGAGAAGUGAUUUCCAGAAUUAUUAUCCAGACCUCGAUUAGGUUUAAUUAGAAACUUCAUGAGGAUCGUCCAACUGUUGGGAAGCAGCCGUUGGCGCCGUGGUGACGGAUUAUUGCAAUACGACUGAUGCGCGAACAGGUGCCUCAAGGUGACAUAAGCUGUGUGGGUGGAGGAGACGGAGGGAGAAAUUCUCAGCAGAUAUUCAGCAGCGGCACAGACUUCUACAUCUUAUUUGCUAAUGCGAGCAUCGAGCUGCUCCCGUGGAUGUUUCUGGGCUGCAGCGAGGCGUCCCUCCGCUCGCCGAGAUGGAUUAUUGUGUCCAAACGCUGCCAAGUGCACUUAGAGGGAAAUAUGGCCGCCAUCUGUUCACAAGAGGCCUCCAGCUCUCUGUGCUACUUGCUGAUGAUAGUCAUUUAUCUGUCAACAUAAAAGGUGCAUUUUCAUUUAACCCUUUGAUGCGUAACCUGGGUCAAAAGUGACCCAAAUCCAGUGGAAAAUGGGUAUCUCCUCAUGUGGUCUACACAUCAAAGGGUUAAAAACACUAAUAAUGUGUCUGAUAUCUUGCGUUUCCGAUGAACUGGAUUUAAAGUCCAUGUACAUGCAGAUAUUUUUAGGAUGUAUGUGUUUAAAAAAGGCCCAUACAAGCAGGAAAAGUACAGUUUGAACCACUACAACGUGCCUCUGAGGCCUCGGGGCUUCUUCUGCUGAUGCUAACUAUAGCUCGGUAUUGAUUGAUCUGGAAGUGGGCGGUGGAGGCAGCAGCGAUGUUGCCUCCCAGAUGGACGUCUGUCUGCUGCCCGUCAGCAUCCAUCAUACAGUCGACCUGCUGCCAAGGCAAGAAAAACUGAAGCGGAGGCCAAGACCGAUCGCAGGGCUGCAAGAAAAGCAUUUCUUCUAUUGAAACCUGAGCAGCAGCAGCAGUAGUUUAUGUCCUCUCCUGAACUCUUGUUUUUGCAUCUGAGUCCUAUUUUGGUUCGUUUCUGGAUUUAAGUUUAGUCCAAUUCAGUGUGUAGCUUUAUUUAGUAAACUAUUUUAUCACAUUUUUGUUUUUAUUUGGGUCAUUCUAGAACUGGAGGACAUUUUACGUCCCACCCAUCAAAUUUCAAAUAAUCCAUGUACAAAAUGCUAAAACAUGCAGUUGUUGUGUAAAUAUUCUUGUCCUGAGACCAAGUCUUUAAAAAAAGGACAAAAGAAUGUUUGAAAAUAUUUUUAAAAUACCAAAUUAGUCUGAAGUUCUCCCUAAAAUGCUAUUUUUCUCUUGUCCCACCCCCCUGAUGACCAAACUGAAUCUCAAAUAAAACAGUUGAAAAGAAA